GCCGCUUUAGCUCAGUUGGUAGAGUAGCUGAUUCGUAAUCAGUUGGUCACGUGUUCAAGUCACGUAAGCGGCACCA
rnacentral:tRNA from 1 species